rnacentral:rRNA from 1 species
UGCCAGCAGCCGCGGUAAUACGGAGGGUGCAAGCGUUGCUCGGAAUCACUGGGCGUAAAGCGAACGCAGGCGGAUAUUUAAGUCGGGUGUGAAAGCCCGGGGCUCAACCCCGGAACUGCAUUCGAAACUGGAUGUCUUGAGUACGGGAGAGGGAAGCGGAAUUCCUGGUGUAGAGGUGAAAUUCGUAGAUAUCAGGAGGAACACCCGUGGCGAAAGCGGCUUCCUGGCCCGAUACUGACGCUCAUGUUCGAAAGCGUGGGGAGCAAACAGGAUUAGAUA